CUGGCGCAUGCGCAGAACACCACCCCCGCCCUGUUAUGUUUGGCUAGUCAGUGCUCUUUAGUUAUGUCAGAUAAAGUAGCUGUACCUUUUCCUUAUCGAUAUUAAAAUGUCUUUGUCGGAGGACAGCGUAUCGUGUCCGACUGAUAAUAGUGUCACUGUUGAUUUAGACUCGGUGUCUGUCUCAGAAACAGUGCUAAACAAUACUAAUGUCCAUAGUUGUCAUGUUGAACAAGACACCCAGAAUGACAGUGAGCUGCUGAAAGGCCUGCUAACUGACACCUUCUGUCAGGUGUGUGAGGCAGUGUUGAUGUUCGAGUCUCAGAGAGUCUCUCAUUAUGAGGGUAAGAAGCAUGCCCAGCGAGUUCGAAUCUACCUGCAGACCAAGAAAGCUGAAAGGAACAAGCAGAGCUGUGAGAGCAACAGCUUUCAGAGGGAUCCGGAGAAGUUCUGCGAGCUGUGCAACAUGGUGUUUAGCUCGCCGGUGGUCGCCAAGUCUCACUACAAGGGAAAAGUCCAUUUCAAGAACACAAGGAAGUCCAGCGCCACAUCUUCUCUAGAUGCCAGAACCGCGGGUCCUGCGGCUUCUCCCGUAACGGCCGUGGAGGACGCGGUGGAGCCGAAAGCACAGGACGCGCUUCAGGAACAAAAGAAAAUCACAGAUCCUUCUGCUCACAUGGUCGACCUGAGUGACCCAGACAAGUACUGCAAACUGUGCACAGCUUCGUUUAACAACCCGGUGAUGGCAUCUGAACACUACAGCGGUCGCAAGCACCAGCGUAACCUGGCCCGCCAGGAGCAGCACAGUAAGCUGGGAGAGCAGUCAGAGCACGCAAACCCCCUGACGUGUCCCCUCUGUCAUCUGACUCUCAGCUCCGUAGACACAUACCAGGCUCACAUGAAAGCCAAUAAACACAACAUAAAAGAAAAGAAGACGCAAGAAGAUUUAUGCCAAAAGAAGGUGUACGACUCGUUCCAGGACGAGCUGGCCGACUACAUCCAGGUGCAGAGGUCUCGGGGACUGGAGCCCAAAACCGGGCAGGGAUCCGAAACUCAGGAUCACAGGAAAGCAGGGAGCAAUGUAGAGGAAAGCGGAGAGUGCCAUGUCCAGCCCCAGGUUGUCUCUCUCCAAUCCCGUCUUCCUGCUCCUGCGUUCAGGACGCAGCCCCGGCGUCCGCCGUUUCAUCCUCAUCACAAUCCUGCCGCUUUUAGAGGGAGAUUCUGCGUGCCGAACCAGUGGGAUCAGGGUUACUCAUCUUACCCUCCUCCGCUCAUCCCCGGGCUGACAGGAAAAGCAUUACGCAGAGGGCGGAGCCCCGAAUCGUAUAGCUCAUCUUCAUCCUUCUCAGACUCUUCGUCUUCGGGUAGCAGCAGCAGCACCAGCAGCAGCAACGAGGACAGCAGAGACCAAACGAGGCGGAGGAAAAAGAGACGGGACGCUACGAAGAAAAAAAGAGAAGACAAGGAUGAAUCCAAUGAGGAUUUACGGAAGAGGAGGAGGGAAGACGGCAGCGCAAAGAAACCAACAAGACGGAAAGGAAGCUCUGAUGAAGAUCAAGGAAAGCGAUGGAAGGUGAAAAAGCAGAGAGAAAGAGUUCCCAAGAAGAGACGGAGAGAAGAGGAGGAAAGAGAGUGGAACAGAGAGGCUCAGGUAGAGAUGACAAAAGAAGACAGAGAAGCACAGGGCGAAGGAUAUAAAGAGGAGAAAACUAAGCACAAAAAAGAGAAGAGGAAACCGAAGGACAGAGAGGACAACAGGACAGAAGAGGAAAAGCUCUGGGACGAAACCAUUUUGGGGAUAUUCUGAUCGAGGAGGAGUGUGAGAACUCGUUCAAAACAAAAUGACAGAUUUAUUCACAUCAGUUAUUUCUACACCACAAACUUCUACCUAACACAGACAACCAGCAAACACACACAUUCUCUCUCUCUCUCCCUCUCUCUCUCUUACUCUCUCUUUCUCCCUCUCUCCCUCUCUAUCUCUCUCUCUCUCUCUCUCUCUCUCUCUCUCUCUCUCUCUCUCUCUCUCUCUCUCUCUCUCUCUCUCUCUCUCUCUCUCUCUCUCUCUCUCUCUCUCUCUCUCUCUCUCUUUUUACCAGAUAAAAUAAAAUUUAAUUCUGCACUUUACAUUUUCUAAUCCAGAUGAAUCAUGAUUGUGGUGUAAACGUCAUCACUCUGCUGCUACUCUGUUUUUACACAACCGUAUUAAUUCAGGCAUGUUGAGAUUUUUAGAUUAAGCCAUAUAACUUCUCAAAACACUAGAAAGAAAUAAACACCACAUACUCUAAAGUUUUAACUAAAUGUUUUCUUUCUACGGUCGUGUUUAGCUAAGUUUGUAUAAUUCAGACAUUUUUGGCUUCGUUAUUUAAUAUAGAAAAAAAGCACAAAAAACAAGUUCAAUCAUAAAUUUUGUGCAAUUUUUUUUAUCUACAUUAAUAAAAAAACAAAAAAAAAAAAACUAGGAAAUCCUGGAGAAAAUGUAUACAUGCAAUAGAAGUAUAUGAAAUCCUAAAAACAAAUGUUCAGAGGUUUCAGAGAAAACGAAACAUCUUUGCUUGCUGUUGAAUUCAUUUUAUCCUGAUUGUAAUGCUAGAAACAUGGAUAUCUUCAUGGGGGCGAAUACUUUUGCACAGCACUAUAGCGCCUAUGAGACUGUUGCAGCGACAAACCCAGACACAAGGAAGCGCUGUUUGACUGCAAGAGCGUUUUUGUCAGUGAGGAAAAACUAAUGCUUGCUGGUCAUUUGCAACAGAUCAAGUGUCUGUAAUUUGCUCGUAUGAGAUGGGACGGUUUGCAUCGAUUAGGAAUUAUUAACCCCUCGUUGUUUAUUAUGGAGAGGUUCUUAUGAUGAUGCGCAAGCUUGAGUAUAUUUCUGUCUUGUCUAACAGGUGCAUGUAGUGCAAAUGAGGACACUUGGCUUUCACAGCUCACAUCUGGCUCUCAGGUUAGACCUCAUUUACCCCGAACGAAAUAUAUACACUGCUUAAAGCAACAAACAACAACAACAACGCUACAUACAAAAAAACGUCAUGCAAACUCCAGGUUUGAUGAUCAAUUAAAAAAAAUGAGAUCUCAUAUGAACUUGAAACUAAUAGAUUAUUAUAAAAAAAAGAAACUGGAGAAUCUAGAAGAUGAAUAAUCAAACAAUUUGUGCAGUUUUCAGUGAACCGUGUAAAUAGUCUGGUUGAGCUCGUGGAUGUUCUGUAAGUCCAGUGGAAUCCAAGCUCAAGGUUUCGUCCCGGUUGAGGGCCAGAACGUCUUUAGGAGAAGCUCUUCUUAAGUCUCUCUGUGUUUGAUUUCGAGGAGCAGAAGUGUUUUCCUGACUGCAGUAAACAGAGGAGUCCAUUGUAUGGACGGAUGACAAACAAAGCGUGUGUGUUUGAGUCAGCAUGGCCUUCCUCCCGUUCUGUCCUUCUACCUGCAGAACUGUUAUUCAGUGGACGCUUUGAGUUUAUCCAAACCAUACUUUGUAAUAUCUAGAGCCUGUAUAAGAUCAUGCCAUGGUCAGUAAAUUUUGUAAAUUUUCUGUAGCUUGAUUAACUAAACAUUUUAUUUGUACCUGUGUGAUUGUAUGCUUUCUGCACCCUGUCCUCUGAUUGGCUGUUUGGAUAAUUGCAUUCAUGUACAGGUGUAAAUUGCGUGCGAGUGUGAUGUAGAAAUUCACAUGGAUAUUGAGCAUUUAUGAAAAUAACUGACUUCCUAAUUGAAUAAUUGAAGAUGACAGAUUAGUGUAAUAUGUUUGUGGGAAAAUGCAUCAUAAAGAUUAAAAUCCUUCCUCGUGUCUUGAA